GAGGAUUAUACCCUGGUAGUCCUAGCUGUAAACGAUGGAUACUAGACGUAGGAACUGGAUUGACGGUUUCUGUGUCGUAGCUAACGCGUUAAGUAUCCCGCCUGGGGAGUACGGUCGCAAGACUAAAACUCAAAGGAAUUGACGGGACCCCGCACAAGCGGCGGAGCAUGCGGCUUAAUUCGAUGAUACCCGUAGAACCUUACCUGGACUUGACAUAUAGGGAAAAGUUAUAGAAAUAUAAUGUGCAUUAGCGCCCUAUACAGGUGGUGCAUGGCUGUCGUCAGCUCGUGCCG
rnacentral:rRNA from 1 species